AAAAAGGGGAGCUUGUGUUACAGGCUGAGAGGAAGUCAUUAAACUUCGACCCAUAAACCUGAUGCGGAUAAUGCCGCCGUAGGGAGUCUUAGUU
rnacentral:ncRNA from 1 species